rnacentral:misc_RNA from 1 species
UCACGUCUUGCGACGGCAGUUUCACUAGAGUUCCCGGCAUUACCUGAUGGCAACUAGUGAUGGGGGUUGCGCUCGUUGCGGGACUUAACCCAACACCUCACGGCACGAGCUGACGACAGCCAUGCAGCACCUGUGCACGAUCUCCGAAGAGGGGCUCUCGUUUCUGAGAGCUUGCUCGUACAUGUCAAGCCUAGGUAAGGUUCUUCGCGUUGCAUCGAAUUAAACCACAUGCUCCGCUGCUUGUGCGGGCCCCCGUCAAUUCCUUUGAGCUUUAGCCUUGCGGCCGUACUCCCCAGGCGGGGCACUUAAUGCGUUAGCGCCGGCACGGGAGGAGUCGACACCUCCCACACCUAGUGCCCAUCGUUUACGGCGUGGACUAC